GACAAAUAUUCCAAAACUUUCUGAAAAUACAAUAUGAGAAUUAACUGCACAAUUACUAGAAAUGUGUACCUUGGAUAUUAUGCAAUUUCCAUACAUGCAAAUUUUUUGGAAAAGACAUUUAUGUAAAGACGUUUCGAUCUCUAACUUUGAACCAAUUCUGUAGAUAUAUUUAAUUAAACGUGUUCUAUAACUGUUCUCAGUGUUCUUCAGUAUUUUUUGAAGGAGAAUAGAAUAUGAUUGUACUUUACAUCUUGAUUUUAUUUGUUUUUUAGCAUUUUUCUUUUAGCAUUUGGCCCCCUAAUGUGUCCUGGUCCCUGUUUGAGAACCGCUGAUUUAUAUUGCAAUCUAAAACUUGUUUUUAAGUGAAUUUGUUCAGAGUUUGCAACAUUUUUAAGAAACUCUAGAGAAGAAACUUGUGAUAUUAUUAAGAAAAAUCUGUGAAGCACUUGAGCAAAAAUCUGUAUUUGCUCACCACUGCUGCAUAAAAGAAAAAGUUGAGAUACUAAAGAGAUCUUACAUGUGCUUUUUCUUUGUGCCUAUGCAAUUAUUCAAAAGCCAAAUGCAUUGUCUCCUCUGCAUUGCCAUUUAAUUGUAUUUACAACUAGUUUUUCAUGCUAACGUGAGUUCUGUUUCUCAGGAUCACAUUGCGGGGCAAAAACCUCCUAAGCGUUCGACCAGCGCAAGCGUGUUAAAGCUUGUAGAGGUGGAGCGGUCCACCUCAUCUGCUCUCUGCCAGAGCCGGCGCUUGUGAUAAAUGAGAGGAGGCCCGGUCUGCUUACUGAUGCACAGGAGAUACCGAACCAACCCGUCCCCCCACCUCCUCUUCCUCCAUCUUUCUGCUUCAUCUAUAUAUCAAAAACAACCGAUGGCAACAGAGUAAAAGUAGCCCAAAUCCGCAGUAAAACUGCAGACUUGGCAACCCUGCAUGUCACACUGAUAUCGAUACAACAUAAAUGGACGGGCCCUUUAUGCUGAAAUAUUCAUAAUGCUGUGAGGGGAGAGGAAAAUCAUAUCUGUCAUCGAUAAAGACGGCCCCUGCUGGGGCCUUGGUCUCCGUGGCCCACCGCGGCCCCGUAUGUCGAAAGCGAACCUGAGCGGUGGACCUCAGCGGUUGUUUAAUCGAAUCAGCCCGGGUCUGAGUGGAUCUGACUUCUCUCCUGUCCCGAGUGAGGGCUUCCAGUCACUGCCUGCCAUGGUUACCCUUCAGCCCCUAUAAACAAACCACAGUAAACCCCAUCCCAGAAUGCCCGCAGUUAGAGCCUCUGAGCCUCUGCGGAGACAUGAAAGUUCUGACUCUCAGUUCAGGCUUUCAUCUGCGUUCAUUUGCUGUGAGCUGAUACCAGCGUUAUUACGCUCAAACUGUAAAGCCUGAAUAAAAGGACGCCUAAUAAGAGUUGUUGGGAAUUUACGAAACUUAAAAACUUGUGCAGACAGUUGAUUCGGAAUGUUUGAGAGAGGUUUUGUGGUAUCGGCACCAUGUCUGCCAUGAUGACGUUUGUUAUGAAUUGUGGUUUACAGUGGUUCAAAACAUAAAUGCAAGUAUGAGUGUAUAGACUUACAGUUUAAAUGUUUUAAAAGAAGUCUCAACAAGGCUGCAUUUAUUUGAUCAAAAUCAAUGAAAACAAUAUAGCCGCAAGCAGCAAUUAAGAAGCCAAGGGACCAACUGCAGGGAUGAGUAAUUGACACCAUUUUAAAAUGAUUUUAGUCAAAAUGGCUGAAAAAUCAUAAAUGCAACCACUAGUAAUAUGAUUUAAUGGCUUAUCACUUAUGACCGAUGGAUGCUGCUGCUAUCAAAUCAAUGUCAUGUGUUCUAUGUGAUGCGACAAUGGCACACACAAAGUUUGGUGUCAAUAUGUCAAAGCUUUGUCGAGAUACAACCUCAGACGUAGCCUGGCAUCAUGCCUCAAAUUUGUUGCAUUGCUAUACAAAAACAGUUUUGUCUGUUAACAUGAAAUCCAUAACUUUUUGUCAGCACAGUCUGAAGAUGACCUGACUCUAUUUUGGUGAAAAUCGGACCAACGGUCAAGGAGGAGUUAGAAACAGUAUGUUCUCAACAUAAAUCAAAAAGGCGGACAGGAAGUUCAGCCGACUAUGGCAUAAUUGGUAUCUAUGUUGUCAGCAUGACCCAAGGAAUAU